CAAACCGGAUGUUCAAAAAUUCGUGGGGUUUGGUUGCUAUGGUGUGACGUCAUGAUCCGGCUCAGUAGCUAUCAUCGCUUUCGAUUUGUGGUUUCAACAGGGGAGCGUUCGGUGAUUACAUUAACACCGUUGUGUACAACCUCCAAUGGCGUCAAUCCCAUUUAUUUUGAGGGGCUGGAUUUUUCUUCUGACAUUUCUUGAGGUUGAAUUUCAGACAUUACUCACAAGAGCGGGAAAUUUGUUCUCAUUUCGAUCAGGUGCUGUGCGGCAUGGAUGCCUUCGAUAUUCGAAGAGCUGAAUUGCUGCACUCCACGAGCGAUUCGAGGGACUGGUAUCUCCUGAAUUCCAAAAUAUGCGGCAUUCCUGUAGGAAAAUUCAUGUCGAGUAGCCCUUUGGUGUCAAGCUUUCCAAAAGAAUUUAACACAGUGCAGCUCUCGAAUCUUAAAAAUGGCGGGCACUUGGAUCGACGACUAGUUCACAAAGAAGAGGUAUUCAUAGCCUCUUCUUUCGACGUUGUUUCCGCGAUACUUCGGCAAAAAAUAAAAGCGGGCGAAGAAGAAAAGUACAGUGGGUUGAUUGAUGGCAUCAACAGCCUAAAUAUUGGCCAAGAUAAUGAAGAUUGCCAAACAGCGACUGACACACGUGACAACAACAAGGACAAAAUUCAUGACCCGGUACAAACAGUAUUUGGAGUCGAUUCAAGGUCAGCCAUAUCCAUAGAGAAUAUCGAGAAGAGUCAAGAUGAAAAUCUUAAGCUUAAGGCUAAACUUGAAGUUGUGCUUCCCCAGUUAGAGGCCCUUCGAGAUGAGGUGAAAAACGGCGGUCAAUCGACGCUGAGCUCAGGCACACAGGACCCGGCAAAGGACAACCCGGACAGUACAAGCGAUAUGUGGACCUUGAUCGGCGAUGUUUGCGAUAAGUUCCAGGUGCCUCUUGCAUCUUUAUUCGCCGAUCAGGUGGACCAAAAUGUUGAAGUGGCUAAAGUGAUGAGCGAUAUCGCAGAACAGCUGCUGAGAAAAAGAGACCCGAAGCAAGCCCUGGAAGCAAUACUGGGGGACAGUGCCCCAAAAUUCUUUAAAUCCCUUCGUGUGCCCGAUUGGACGUUGCUUUACUUCAAGCUGCAGUCCCGGAUCCCAGACCAAGGAUGGCAAACCUUGUUGAACUUUACAAAGUUAGGGCGAACUAAGGUUGAAAUCCUGGCAUAAUUGUAUGCCUGAGUGCUUCUGGGAUAUCUAACAUCGGCAUCAUGACAUCACGUCAAUGUGAAUUUUGGAGACAUGCAUGCCGAAAGAUUUGGUAAGUGUUUAUUAUUAUUGUAUUUGGUUAUGCCUACAAGUCCAAGGUGUGCUAUGCUUAUUAUUUAUUGUUAGAGUGCCAUUUUUUUUCUCAAGAGUACAUAUAUCUGACUUUCAAAAUCCCACUGGUCUAACAAAAUUUUUUAUGAUUAUUUUGAUUCUAGUUCUCAAAUUUCUUUUUAAAUUUCAUCCUUUCGUAUGUGUAGCAACUGAACUAAAUGAGAAAUUGUUUCCAAUCUACAGCAUUAUGUUGAGCAAUUAAUUUUGUUACUUAAAUGUUUGACCACAGUUGCAGUUUUGUCAAACAUGACCAAACUGGCUGGCAUUUUCCUGAAGACCGACUGUCAGUUCUAGCUCAUUAUUUCUUAUAUAAUACUGGUAAAUGCUCAGUCAUAUUGAUCAUUGAAGUGCUUGCCAUAUGCACUAUUCCUUGUGUUGUCCUUUAUGUAAAUCGCAUACUUAUGUCAUCACUGCAACACACUUAUUAAAAUUAUUGCAUAUGAACGAGUCAGGAAAGUUUUUUAGAGAUUGGGGAACUCACACUGACACACUUGACAUUGCCAGUACAGGUCUGCUACAGCAGGAGUUAGAUACUAAGCUACAGUUCUGGAAAACAAAACAACAGGAAGUUGUUGCAAAGCUGUCCAUUCUUCGAAAAAACAAGAAGUACCCAAAGGAAGUCCAGAAUUAUGUUGCUCAGUAUCAACAGGAUGCCUACAAAAAUCGCACACUAUUACCUGGCUCAACACGGGAGAGAGAAGCUUUAUCCGGCAAUGUUUUGAAGAAAUGUUGCAAAAUGUCAAGCCUGGCUUAUUAAGCUUGGUAUUGGUUCCGGUAAACAUGGACAAUGUACAUUGGGGACUAAUGGUCCUCGAUGUAAAAAGCAAAGAAGCGUAUUUUGAUGAUGGCCUUGGAUAUUCUUUCUCCAAAACUUCUUAUGUCUUUCUUAUCAUGAGUGAGCUUCAGUCCAAGUUUCCAAUUUCGAAUGCCGAGACAACAGACAGAUGGCCAACUAAUUGGAAGCGGCAGUUGUGGCGUUGGGGUUAUUCUAGCGGCCCUUGAUUUUAUGACCUCUUCACAACCUCAAGUUGUUUCACGGUCGUGGAACUUCAGUGAGAUGACAGCACACAGGAAGGACAUAAUGAAACUGCUUGCUUGCCGGUAGUUUAUUCUCUUCGAAGCCAUAAGCCAGCUACAAGUUUGGCCAAAACG